GGCCAGCAUAGUGUAGUGGUUUGAAUGUUGGACUAUGGCUCUGGAGACCAGGGUUUCAAUCCCUGUUUGGUCA